rnacentral:rRNA from 1 species
UACGUAGGGGGCAGGCGUUAUCCGGAUUUACUGGGUGUAAAGGGAGCGUAGACGGAAUUGCAAGUCUGAUGUGAAAAUCCGGGGCCCAACCCCGGAACUGCAUUGGAAACUGUAUUUCUAGAGUGUCGGAGAGGCAAGUGGAAUUCCUGGUGUAGCGGUGAAAUGCGUAGAUAUCAGGAGGAACACCAGUGGCGAAGGCGGCUUGCUGGACGAUGACUGACGUUGAGGCUCGAAAGCGUGGGGAGCAAACAGG